GUGUGUAUGUUCCAGGGUCGAGCUGGGACGGAUGGGAACAGAGGUGCUCCGGGUGAGACCGGUGGGAAGGGUGACAGGGGAUUUGAUGGCUUGCCAGGUCUCCCAGGACACAAGGGACACAGGGGGGAGAUAGGAAAACCAGGCCCCCACGGUACUCUUGGGCUGUCAGAGAGAGGGUAAGA